CCCAUUUCCCCUCUCCUCUGCCCUCUCCCAAUCAUAAGUGUCCCCCCAAAAUCAUGUUGUGGCUCUUCAGAGAGGGUUCCAUGAGGUGAGCAGUUUUCUCCACCAUGUGCUCCAUGCCAUGACCUGAUGUUCUACUGCCUUGCCCUAGGCCCAAAGGCAACAGGGUCAAGCAACCAUGGACUGAAACUACCAGCAUUCCACCAUCCAGAGCCCCAAUCUCUCCCAAGAACAGUCUGUUGGCAGCCAUGAUGCCCAUGAUGGAAGGACUCCUAUAUAGAACACAGCAAGAGAGUCACUCAUCCCUCUACAAGGAAUAGGUCAGGAUGGAGGGAAAAGAAAAGAAAACUCCUGGAACCUUACCACCCAACGUUCACUUCAAUAUGAGCAUCCAAGAUGGCAACCACAUCAGCAGUGGCAGCUGCCCAGCCCGUGUUGCGUGCUUGAGCAAGACCUCUUCUCUCACUAUGCCGUAUCAUUUUCAACAAUCCAGGAUACUUCUGGUUGUAAAGCUUAAUCUUCUCAUUCAAGGAUACCUUUAGUUCUUCUGCCAACCAAACACACACCCACAGAAACACUGAGUGCAAUAAUCAAUGUGGUACAGAAAUUUGAUACUAUAAUAGUGGUUGGAUUACCAUUGUAGGAUAAGCAAUUCUUCAACCUUGACCUGUACCAUAGCUUCCUGUGGAUGUCAAACUCUAGUUGGAUCACUAUCGGAUUCCAUGCCACUUCCUAUUUGGGGACGGUUUCUUCAACUUGGAAAUAGCAGCUCAAGUUGCUCACCAUUUGAGCUGAAAUCAUCCACCAAGAUGAUCUCUUUCAGCAACCGAGGUGGGGUCCGGCUGAUGACACUGGUGAUGGCCCGUUGUAUAAUGGACAGAGAUUCAUCCAUGAAUAUGAUGACGACACCAAGGGAUGGGAGUAGGGAAGGGUAUGACUUCUGAACACACCUAUAAGAAACCAUUUUGAUAACCA